rnacentral:lncRNA from 1 species
GGCAUGAAAUAAGUGAUUGCAUUGCUUUUAAACAGAAAGUGAAUCAAUUAACAUAUUAGACUCCUCAUAUAACUUAACAAAUUCAAUUGUAACAUACAAAAUUUGUAUUUCUAAUUAUUAAAAAGAUUCUUAACCGGAAAAAACCCCAAAAAUAUAGCGAUCUUCAGAGAAAUUAUAUAAUACAUAUGAAUACAUAAAUUAUAUUAAUUAAAAAAAUAUAUGAAAAUACAUUCAUGGAAUAUAGCGAGACAAUGAAUAUAAUGAAAUACAUAUGAUACAUCGGGAUACAUUAAAAUACAAUGAAAAAAAAGAUAAUGAAUACAAUGAAAUACAUCGAGAUACAUCGAAACACAUUAAAAUAUAUUAUCUAUAAAUUCAAGUGGCUCGUCCGGGAAAGGAGGGAGUCGAGAAGUGAAAUUUCCCAAAGGGGCUUCUUCAUCAUCAAACCCAUUUUCGAAAUUCAGCGGAUCAUAACGGAACUGAUUAGCAGAGGAGGAGUGUUGUCUCUUGUGCCCGUUAGAUCCAAAGUUGAAAAUAGUAAAACCUUGUAUUGGGUUCCCAAAUCAACAUCAGAUUCAUCGGAGGAUGACGGCGAAGGCGGAAGAGAAGGGUGGCAGUGAAGAAAGCAACAGGAGAAGCAAAAGGAAUUCUUCAACUUUUGCUUUAGAGAUGGAGCUGAAUUGGGUAUAGAAAAAGGAUGAUUUUCAUCCAUUGGAGUUUGAGAUUUGGGAGUAAAAAAUGGAGGAGAAAUUGAGGGGUUUUACAUAAUAGAGAAAUAGAAAAACGACAGAUAUUCUAAUACUUGAGAGAGAAAAAUAAUAUAUGUAUAUUUCAUGGCUUAAAAGUAUGAAGUGACCAUAAAUAGAUAUUUGGCUAUAAAAAUCAAAAGGUUGCUAUAGAAUAUAAUUUUUCAAAAACGUAUUUAUUUAAAAUAAAUAAGGUAUCAACUUUGCUAUAGGAG